rnacentral:rRNA from 1 species
GAUGAACGUUGGCGGCGUGCCUAACACAUGCAAGUCGAACGCUAGUAGCAAUAUUAGAGUGGCGCACGGGUGAGUAACACGUAGCUUAUCUACCUCCCAGCGCGGGAUAACGGUUCGAAAGAACUGCUAAUACCGCAUAAGCUCACGAGCUAUAGAGGCUGGUGAGAAAAGGCUUAGGUCACUGGGGAGCGGGGGCUGCGGCCCAUCAGCUAGUUGGUGAGGAACGGCUUACCAAGGCGACGAC